UACGAAGGGGGGCUAGCGUUGCUCGGAAUGACUGGGCGUAAGGGGCGCGUAGGCGGAUGGCACAGUCAGAUGUGAAAAUUCCCCGGGCUUAACCUGGGGGGCUGCAUUUGAUACGUGUUGUCUUGAGUUCGGAAGAGGGUCGUGGAAUUCCCAGUGUAGAGGUGAAAUUCGUAGAUAUUGGGAAGAACACCGGUGGCGAAGGCGGCGACCUGGUCCGACACUGACGCUGAGGCGCGAAAGCGUGGGGAGCAAACAGG
rnacentral:rRNA from 1 species